rnacentral:lncRNA from 1 species
GGAAGUCUCUCCAUGACCCACUGCCCCUGAGCCAGGCUGGGACACCACUGGGCCUGCAGGAUGCAGCUCAGAUGAGGCCUCCAGGUGUCUGCCUAGGCUUCUGCUGGUGCCAAGGUCAUGAGCUGCCCACACUCCAGCUUGCUUUUCCCCUGGAGACAGAGACAGUGAGGCUGAGGUCUGCAUCAGCACAAUAUCUCACAUGGUCCCUAAAAUUGGAGAUAAGACUUUCCCAGCCUUCCUGCUCAGGGGACCCUUGUUUUGUCUUUUAACCUUCUCUCUAAUAUUUGUCAAAUGACUCACAAAAUGGAAAAACCCACCACCUCUACUUGGGUUCUGCUGCACUAGAAUUCUUUCAGCUUUCUCUUCUAGGGUCUCUGGAAAAAAACUAGAAGCACAUUACCUGUUGGGACCUUUUACCUUUCUUUGGGACCGUGGCCGUUAUUGGGUGUUGGCUGAGGUGGCCUCAUGGGUUCUUCCAGAGCAUUUCCGUAUUCGUGACCUGGCUGGAUUGGUGUUUGUGGGCUUUUAGCCCACGCGCAGGCUUUUGACUUUAGCCCUGCCUAAUGAUUUAAUUUGAAAUCUGCCUAGGCCCUUUAGUGAUAAUGACUUAACU